rnacentral:rRNA from 1 species
AUUGAACGCUGGCGGCAGGCCUAACACAUGCAAGUCGAGCGAGCGGCGGACGGGUGAGUAAUGUAUGGGGACUGCCCGCUAGAGGGGGAUAACUACUGGAAACGGUGGCUAAUACCGCAUACUAUCGGAUAACCCAUAUGGGAUUAGCUAGUAGGUGGGGUAAAGGCUCACCUAGGAGACGAUCUCUAGCUGGUCUGAGAGGAUGAUCAACCACACGGGGACGGAGACACGGCCCCGACUCCUACGGAGGCAGCAGUAGGUAAUAUUACACAAUGGGCGCAAGCCUGAUACAGCCAUGCCGCGUGUAUGAAGAAGGCCUUAGGUUUGUAAAGUACUUUCAGCGAGGAGGCGUUACCCGCAGAAGUAGCACCGGCUAACUCCGUGCCAGCCGCCGCGGUAGUUC